CAAGCCAUACUUCUAUCACCUGACAAUGAGGUGAGAUUGAAAGAUAUCGAGAUCAACUAUAUAUCUAUAGAUUUGAUGAUUGUAGACCAUCUAAUCUAAUGGAGUUGUCCCUAAUGUUUUUGUAAGACAUGUGAGAGAGAUGAAGAUGAGAAAAAGUGAGGAAGGGAGAAUGUAAGGCCUUCAAAAGGCCAAGUGGGAGAUGUUGGGUUUAUGUAGCCUUUAAAAUCCUUGUGAAUAUGUAAUAAAAAAUAUUUGUUAUAGUGAAACAUAAAUUUAGUGGGAGUGUGGUCCCUCGAGGACCUUACUAAGCAAACGUUGUUUGCCAAACUGUGCUUGUCGAUCUAGGCUAGUCGAUUGGAAAACCCAAGGUAUCUGGGCAUAAAGAACAAACCGAUAAGGGUUUUGGGUUAGCUCUUGAUGAAGUCGGAGCUUCUGCCUAGAUGAGUGAGCCUAGGGGUUGUGUGACCCUUGUGUGUGAUGGUAGGCCUACAGAGACGGGGGCCAAAUCCUCAUCCAUGUUCUAUCACACGGCAUGCAUAUCAAUAGAUCGUUUGGGAAAGCCAGUUAUCCACAUUUGGGUGAAGCGUAUGCAUGCGCGAGAGAUACCCCUCUACACCAUAGAGUUGUGAACGCAUCAGGUCGUGGUGACAUUGACUCAUCUCAAGAGGAGGACCUGUAAUCCUUAGGCUGGGAUUGCGACCCCUUAGCUCAUCGACCAGACUUUGGUGACCUGUUAAUGAGCCCCUGCUUGGACUGUAGGUCAUUGUAAAC
rnacentral:lncRNA from 1 species